rnacentral:lncRNA from 1 species
AUCGUGUUGAUAUGCCCAAGUUGAGUCGAUUUGCUUAUCUAUCUAUAAUGCAUGUAAUGGUCAUACAUGCUUGUUGAGUCAAUAUAAAAAUUCGAAGUUGUGGUUUGAUUGCCAAUGAAACAACUGUCUACCAUUGACCAAAUGACGCAGACGUUAAGAGCACUAUCAAUUGAAUGUUAAAAAAAAAAAAAAAAACCCCAAACAAACAACUAUAAGCUACCGUAUGGCGAUCACUUAUGAGCAAAAGCCAAUAUCGCAAAGUACCACGAAAUGCCCCGAAAUGACAAAUGCAACCUAAAUCAGACCAAAUUAAAACGGCCUGAUUUAUGUACAAAACAAUGAAACAAAAACAAAUAUGAUAUACAGCAACAAACGAAUUGCAUGCUCCUGACUAGGACAAAUCACACACAAAAUGUGGCGGGUUAAGCAUGAUUGCUCGCGCCAUCCCUCCCCCUAACAUGGGACACUUGUGUAACAGUACAACAAACUAUUAAAAUCAGUUGGUAAGAGCUGAACUCAUCAGAUUGACUCAAUAUGCAUGUAACAUGUAACACAAUGUAUUAAACAUAUGUCGUCAGAUGAGGGUAAAGAAACUAUUUUUUUAUAUAGUUCUUAAACAUCUUAAUCUCACACAGUUUUGAAAUUUAUUCUAAUAUGACAGUUGAACAUGCUAUCGACAAUCAAUUACUUAGUUAUUGAACAAUAACAAUCAAAACCAAGGAGUAAACAAAGACUCACAAAACCAUAGGCCAUUUACAUCAACAGUUAUAAAUAAUAAUAAAGAAACAACACGAACUCCACUAAAAACCGGGAGUGAAAUCAAGUGCUCCGGAAGGGUAAGCAUUUCUUGAAUGAAGGAAAACAAUCAUUGAUAUUUGAGGAAGAUCCACAAAAAAAGUAAAUCUAUUUUAUUGUUUCUAACCAAAUUCCCAAUACAACUGGUGAGCUUUAGGUAUUCUCAUAGUUUACUAAGAACAUAAAUAUGUUUAGCUGUACUCACUUUUACAGGUCUAUAAUACUUUAUGUGCGGUCAGGAGUUUUAUCCAAGUCGCAGCACUAAACCGAAAAAACACAUACAUAACUAUCGGUACCUUUUUAAUUUAAAUCAAUAGUCAAUUUUAAUGAAAGAAAAGGAAGUUAUCAGUAAAAUCUCUUUGACCGAGUUGUUGUCUCUUUGACAUAUUCCCCAUUUCCAUUCUCAAUUUUAAUAGUAAAAGUUCAAUGGCAAGGUAAUAUUGACAAUAAAAGAUCUCGGAACAAAAAGGGAAGCUAAGAUCCAUGAGCCCCGAAGGUGGGGUGAUUUUAAGAGUUCUGUUGCGAAGAGGUCUUUUAAUAUCUAUAUUAACUUUUCAUCAAACUUUUACUGAUUUAGAAAUCGUAAAAAGUCAUAAAAAGUACAAAAAAGGCCUCUUCCCCUAGAAGUGACGAGUCUAAAUCGGAUUCAACUUACUUGAUAUAUACAAUAACAGUUACUUAAUUGAUUAAAAGACAGUUACGUGAUAUUAAACAUUUCUAGUUCCGUGGGAUUGUUUUAUAAAACUAAGGGGUAAACUUAUAUUUUCAAACUUAAAAUGUUUGUUUCAUAAAUGAGUCAAUCAACGAUAUACCGAC